UGGGGAAUAUUGGGCAAUGGGCGAAAGCCUGACCCAGCAACGCCGCGUGAAGGAAGAAGGUUUUCGGAUUGUAAACUUCUGUCCUCAGGGAAGAAACAAAUGACGGUACCUGAGGAGGAAGCCCGGCUAACUACGUGCC
rnacentral:rRNA from 1 species